rnacentral:rRNA from 1 species
ACCUUCGGGUUUGUAAAGGCUCUUCAGACGGAAGAACGGUCACGGCCAACACCCGUGACUAAUGACGGUACGUCCAGAAGAAGCACCGGCUAACUACGUGC